CUCCCGACCGCGGCCCCAUCCAGCUUCCCGGCGCCACCAAUGGCGCCGGCCUUGGGUCGAGGGGAGGCGCCGGGGCUGACACUCACCGGCAACCAGGGAAACACAACGCAAGCCAGGGAAACUCUGUAAGAUGGGAUGAAGAAUUAAGGGAGAACAUUGCUGCACAGUUACUGGCAUAUAGCAGGUAUCAAGAAGUAUUUUUGAGUGAAUGUCAAUUGAAGAUCCAGUUCAAAGACCCCCUCUAGAAAGGUCUUCCGAUUAUCAAGACCUAAAAUCCUGCUCUCCAACUUUGUACCCCUUUUGUAGCUAUCAAGCAAUAAAUACAGUUAUGCAAUAUUU